rnacentral:piRNA from 1 species
UGCUAGAAUUAGAAACCCUAAAGCA